GACGAACGCUGGCGGCGUGCUUAACACAUGCAAGUCGAACGGAAAGGCCCUGCUUUUGUGGGGUGCUCGAGUGGCGAACGGGUGAGUAACACGUGAGUAACCUGCCCUUGAUUUUGGGAUAACUUCAGGAAACUGGGGCUAAUACCGGAUAGGAGCUCCUGCUGCAUGGUGGGGGUUGGAAAGUUUCGGCGGUUGGGGAUGGACUCGCGGCUUAUCAGCUUGUUGGUGGGGUAGUUGCUUACCAAGGCUUUGACGGGUAGCCGGCCUGAGAGGGUGACCGGCCACAUUGGGACUGAGAUACGGCCCAGACUCCUACGGGAGGCAGCAGUGGGGAAUAUUGCACAAUGGGCGGAAGCCUGAUGCAGCAACGCCGCGUGCGGGAUGACGGCCUUCGGGUUGUAAACCGCUUUCGCCUGUGACGAAGCGUGAGUGACGGUAAUGGGUAAAGAAGCACCGGCUAACUACGUG
rnacentral:rRNA from 1 species